GACAGAGGUCCCAAGCGUUAGGCGGAAUCACUGGGCUUAAAGCGUGUGUAGGCGGAUUUGUAAGUACCUUGUGAAAUCCCACGGCUCAACCGUGGAACUGCUUGGUAUACUGCUUAUCUUGGGCCAUCUAGGGGCGAGCGGAACAAACGGUGGAGCGGUGAAAUGCGUAGAUAUCGUUUGGAACGCCAAUGGUGAAAACAGCUCGCUGGGGAUGUGCCGACGCUGAGAUACGAAAGCCAGGGGAGCAAACGGG
rnacentral:rRNA from 1 species